AGGUUGGCGGGUGCGGCGGAGAUGCGCGUGCGCAGAUGGCCGGGCAGGCCGCCAUGUUGCAGCCUGAACUAUCCAGAGCUUAGCGGGUUGAAGCGCCGCCCGCAGCUCUGGGCUGCAGCUGGGCGUGUCGGGGUGUGUCAGGUGAACAGUGCUGCCUCCCACUUUUCAGUCGCGUCCACAAACCCCGCAGUGGGUGUGGAGUUCCUGCACUGUCAUUGCUGUCCCGCCCACCAUCCAGGCUGAGCGCUGGUCCCUCUCUUACACCGACGCUUCUCCGGCGCCUCCAGGAAGGAAAUGGGCCGCCCCGCUGCCAGAGAGGCUUUUAUGCAGCCCGGGCUGGAGUGUUACUCUGGCCCCAGAUUUCUGGGCUUCUGUUCAUUCUCAAGUGGCGACUUGUUCCUCAGAUCUUGGCCCCACCUCAGAAGCAGGUUCCCCCAGCCCCUGAGCAGCUGCGUGACGAGAAGAGCGUUGACGGCGCUUGCUUUAAUGUUUUGUUUGAGAUACUCUGCGUGAGACUUGAAAAGACCCACUAGGAACCACUGAGAAGGUGAAGUUUUGUAUCCAGACAUGUUGCAGGGACCAUAGAACUGAAGCUGCCAGGAUCCAGACAAGCAGGAGGAGGUAGAGUCUGAAGUGCUGGAAGGCACUGGAGCUGCCCAGCGCCAGGAAGGAGAAUUGAAGCCGCGUUUCCUAAACCACGAGGCUCUGCGUUGGGUGACAUCACGUCGGUAGCUUGGAAUUGGCUCUGGCGGGAGUAUUCACCCCAUGGAUGUCAGCAGUGCUGCAGCUCAGGACGCUUCAUUUCAGAAAGCCGGACACCCAGUGCGUCACUGCUUACCUGCCUCUUGUAGUGCACUGUCUUGGCACACUGAAUGUGCUUCUAGCAU